rnacentral:rRNA from 1 species
CCUACAAGCGGUCGGAGUCCCGUUUUAUCGGGAUGACGGCGUGCCUUUUGCAUAAUGAGCCAGCGAGUUGCUCGUAUGUCGCAAGGUUAAGGUAUUAAAACCGGAGCCGUAGCGAAAGCAAGUCUGAAUAGGGCGUUGAGUAAUAUGCGGUAGACCCGAAACCGAGUGAUCUAGCCAUGGCCAGGAUGAAGUCCCGGUAACACGGGAUGGAGGUCCGAACCCACCAGCGUUGAAAAGCUGGGGGAUGAGCUGUGGUUAGGGGUGAAAGGCCAAUCAAACUCGGAGAUAUCUGGUUCUCGCCGAAAUGCCUUUAGGGGCAGCGUCACAUUAUAGUGUAUCGGGGGUAGAGCACUGAAUGGGCUAGGGGGCCUACAAGCUUACCGACCCCAAUCAAACUCCGAAUACCGAAUACAUGUUAUGUGGCAGUGAGGCUGCGGGGGAUAAGCUCCGUAGCCGAGAGGGAAACAACCCAGACCAUCAGCUAAGGUCCCAAAGUCGAUGCUAAGUGAUAAAGGAUGUCAAAUCGCCCAGACAGCUAGGAGGUUGGCUUAGAAGCAGCCAUCCUUUAAAGAAAGCGUAAUAGCUCACUAGUCGAGGGGUUUUGCGCCGAUAAUUUCCGGGACUAAGCAUCGCACCGAAGCUAUGGAUCACGACAUUUGUAUGUCGUGAUGGUAGGCGAGCGUUCCAUCGACCGUCGAAGGUUGACCCGUGAGGGCAGCUGGAGGAAAUGGAAAUGAGUAUGCUGGCAUGAGUAGCGAUAAAGCCUGUGAAAUGCAGGCUCGCCGCAAGCCCAAGGUUUCCUGAGUAAAGUUAAUCUGCUCAGGGUUAGUCGGACCCUAAGCCGAGGCCGAAAGGCGUAGGCGAUGGAAAACGGGUUUAAUAUUCCCGUACCAGUUUUUGAUUGUUUGAGCUAUGGGGUGACGCAGGAGUGAAAGGUCAGCCCGGUUUUGAUUGUCCGGGUUUAAGUAAGUAGGGGGUCCUGGUAGGCAAAUCCGCCGGGACUUAACCCCGAGAUACGAAUAGGAGGGCCUAGCCCAUAAACUGACCCUAAUCAUGCUGCCAAGAAAAUCCUCUAUGUUAGAUGCUGCGCUGACCGUACCGUAAACGGACACACGUGGGCGAGGAGAGUAUCCUCAGGCGCUUGUGAGAAUCCAGGUUAAGGAACUCGGCAAAUUAGCCCCGUAACUUCGGGAGAAGGGGUGCCCUUAUUAGGUGAAGAACUUCGCGUUUGGAGCUGAACAGGGCCGCAGUGACCAGGCUCAAUCGACUGUUUACUAAAAACACAGGUCUCUGCUAAGUCGUAAGACGAAAUAUAGGGACUGACACCUGCCCGGUGCUGGAAGGUUAAAUGGAGAGGUUAGCUUCGGCGAAGCUUUGAAACGAAGCCCCAGUAAACGGCGGCCGUAACUAUAACGGUCCUAAGGUAGCGAAAUUCCUUGUCGGGUAAGUUCCGACCUGCACGAAUGGUGUAACGAAUUGGGCACUGUCUCAACCAUGACCCCAGCGAAAUUGAAGUGUCGGUGAAGAUGCCGGCUACCCGCAGCAGGACGAAAAGACCCCGUGAACCUUUACUACAACCUAGUAUUGGAUUCUGGUUCUAUAUGUGUAGGAUAGGUGGGAGGCUUUGAAGCUUCAACGCUAGUUGAGGUGGAGCCAACCUUGAAAUACCACCCUUAUAUUGUUAGAGUUCUAAUCCCGACCCGUGAAUCCGGGCGGGACACAGUGCUAGGUGGGUAGUUUGACUGGGGCGGUCUCCUCCUAAAAAGUAACGGAGGAACUCAAAGGUCUUCUCAGCACGGUCGGUAAUCGUGCGUAGAGCGCAAAGGCAUAAGAAGGCUUAACUGUGAGGUCGACGGACCGAGCAGGUGCGAAAGCAGGACUUAGUGAUCUGGUGGUUCCGUAUGGAAGGGCCAUCACUCAAUGGAUAAAAGGUACUCCGGGGAUAACAGGCUUAUCUCCCCCAAGAGUUCACAUCGACGGGGAGGUUUGGCACCUCGAUGUCGGCUCAUCACAUCCUGGGGCUGGAGAAGGUCCCAAGGGUUGGGCUGUUCGCCCAUUAAAGUGGUACGUGAGCUGGGUUUAGAACGUCGUGAGACAGUUCGGUCUCUAUCCGCCGUGGGCACAGGAGAUUUGAGGGAAUCUGCUUCUAGUACGAGAGGACCGAAGUGGACGAACCUCUAGUGUACCAGUUGUCAUAUCAAUGGCACCGCUGGGUAGCUAUGUUCGGAAAGGAUAAGCGCUGAAAGCAUAUAAGCGCGAAACCUGACCCAAGAUAAGAUCUCCCUACCGUAAGGUAAUAAGGCUCGUUGCAGACUACAACGUUGAUAGGCUGCAGGUGUAAGUGUGGUAACACAUUCAGCCGAGCAGUACUAAUAAGCCGAACGACUUUACC